GUCACUCAUGGUAAUGACGGUACCGGCAGCAGCAGGGUACUCUGUUGUCGACAGGUCGUUACCGAAGCGCUCCAAGGUUAUGAAUACAGGACCUGCAUUGUUGUUUUUGCCGGCGGCAGUUGUGGGCUCCGAAACCCGCCACUGAGCGGCGCCACCACCACCGUACUGCGGGUUUGCCCAUAGAUGCGAUAUACCUAUCAUGCCACGGAGCAUCCGACGAAAUGUUCUACUAUGGUUACCGAAAGCACUCCUCAAUGAAAGGCGC
rnacentral:lncRNA from 1 species